AUAGCUUCUCCCUCUGGCAAAUCCUGCUUCCUUCCCAAUCUUGCCCAACUCUGCUUCCUUCAACAAGAAUUUAUUCCAACAGCACUCCAUAAUUAAGUUCCCCAAAACUUCUCUCCAUCUCAUAAUUGGAUUCUCAGGGAAUUCAGCUUUCAACAUUGGAAUUCUACCCUUGGAGCCAAGCCACGAUGCUGUGUGGAGCUUGAUCCACCUAGAGAGACUACGAGAAGGAGAAUCAAGGAGCUCUGGCUGAAAACCCAGACACUUAACUCCUUGAGGGAAGAAUAAGACAUUACCUUCUUCUUUGAAUCCUUAACACCUAGAACAGAGCCUGGAAAUCUGCAGAAUGAAGAAAACAACACAUGAACAAACAAACUUUGAUAUUCAAACUCUUUACUAACAUCAUAUUGCCAAAGACAACUCUGGCUCCAGGGAGAAGCUUCAGGUGAGGCCUUGAGAUACACUUCUGACCAGAGAAAUCUGAGGAGAAACAUGUUGAUACCAGCACUUCUCCCAUCUUCUUCCUGCCUGGAAUGAGGAAAUGUACCAGGACUUGGAACAGGAAGAUGGAAGCCACAUGCUGAGGAUGGCAAGACAGGAAGACAGAAGGAGCCUAAUUUCUUGAUGCUAUCUGGGCUGGAUUUUAGGCCCUGGAUUGCCUGUGUCCAGACCUCUUAGUGUAUAAU
rnacentral:lncRNA from 1 species